rnacentral:sRNA from 1 species
AGUCCUUGGUUCAUCAGCAGUGUGGGGAGGCAGCCAAGGCUCCUGUAGAUUCCUGGCAUCAACCUUGGAAAGCCUCUGCGAUACUUGUGUGUAUGAAUACGGCAGAGGACAGGGAGGUCCUUGUUCUGUGGUCUCUGUUUAGUGACUGAAACUUAAAUCCAAAGGCAAGCCUGGAUUGUCUGGCCGUUCAUCCCCAUGCCUUGAUAGGGGUGAGGAGGAACCCUUUCUGUAUGAAAGACAGGCCCUACUAGGGCUUACAACCAAGCCAAAGGACCAUCUCUUCUUUCUUCCACCUCCCUUCACCCCUGCCCCGCAGCAGAGCCGAGAUGUGAGACAUUCAUUGUCACGGAGCAAGGAGACAAAGGCAAGUUCAAGUUGAGAAGCAUAUGGCAGCAAACAAAUGAAAACCAUAUGUCCCAGCAAGGGGAAAAGCAUCAUCGCCCCCAGAUCGGGCUGGUACAGGAUGUCUUAAGGUGAUGAGAGGUGAGGGUGCAUGAAGAAUAAUGAGCACAAGGAAGAGAGAAGCAGGACAAAGUAGCAGAUAAAAUGCCGGCAAAGCACAGAUGAAUGUCUUCAAGAAGCUCUUGUAUUUCUCUGCACAAUGUAAAUAUCCUUGCUAUUUCAGGAUGGCGGCUGGCCUGCUCAGUAACAUACAUGUUCCAAAUAAAGAUUUUGCAUGAAA